GGAUGGGGACAACGUUGGGAAACGGACGCUAAUACCCGAUGUGCCUAAGGGUGAAAGAUUUAUUCGCCUGUAGAUGAGCUCGCGUCCGAUUAGCUAGUUGGUAGGGUAAAGGCCUACCAAGGCGAUGAUCGGUAGCUGGUCUGAGAGGAUGAUCAGCCACACUGGGACUGAGACACGGCCCAGACUCCUACGGGAGGCAGCAGUGGGGAAUUUUCCGCAAUGGGCGCAAGCCUGACGGAGCAAGACCGCGUGGGGGACGAAGGUUUGUGGAUUGUAAACCCCUUUUGAUAGGGAAGAUGAUGACGGUACCUAUCGAAUCAGCAUCGGCUAACUCCGUGCCAGCAGCCGCGGUAAUACGGAGGAUGCAAGCGUUAUCCGGAAUUAUUGGGCGUAAAGCGUCCGCAGGUGGUUAAUCAAGUCUGUUGUUAAAGCGCGGAGCUAAACUUCGUAAGGGCGAUAGAAACUGGUUAACUAGAGUUUGGUAGGGGUAGAGGGAAUUCCCAGUGUAGCGGUGAAAUGCGUAGAUAUUGGGAAGAACACCGGUGGCGAAAGCGCUCUACUGGGCCUGAACUGACACUGAGGGACGAGAGCUAGGGGAGCG
rnacentral:rRNA from 1 species